CAAAAACCCAUUACUACUAAAUUAUAGCGAGGCAAUAAGGAUUCAGACUUUGUCGAAGCAAUGCUUGCAUAGUAAACAUUACUGGUACAAAAAUGAUAAACACAACUCUAUUUGCUAAUUCACCAAUCUAGUUAUGAUUGUACAUCAUGUACAAUUAUUUGCAUCUACCUCUUUCCAAGCCUCACAAAUCUGGAAGGGCUAAACUUAGAAAGAUCAACAAUACUAGAUUUUCCAUCUACCACAAGCUCAGCCAUUGCUGCCCCAGUAGCAGGACCAUUUAAAAUACCCCAACAGCUAUGUCCAGUGGCCACAUAACAGCCCCGUACCCCAGGAAUCUCCCCUAUUACAGGAAUACCAUCAUCGGUGCAGGGCAAGAAGCAUGCUUGCUCUGCCUUGACUCGUGCCUCCCCUUCUGCUAAAUGGCUAGAAACAGUCGUGGCCACCCUCUUCAGCACUCGUAUCGACUCUGGGUCACCCACUAUCUCCUCUGGAUCGUCUGGAACUUCCACCUCCGAUGACAUUCCACACAAGUACACCUCCCCUGUAGGACGAGGGUAGACUUCAGGGUUCAUGGGCCUUCCUCCCUGAGCCGGAUAAUAGCUCAGAAACAGUGCAUGGGGCGUUAUAGCUCCAAGCUCUUUAGGCUCCAAAAUUAUACUGUGGGCCUUUAGACCAUAAACUCUAAAUAACGAACUCAGCAUCUCAAAUUUACCAGACCAUGGCCCAAGCGUCAAAACCACAGCGUCCGAGUUUAUAACUUGUCCCCCCUCCAGCACCACCGAGUCAACUCGUCCCCCCUCCACUCCUACUUUCUCCACUUUCCCUGUCACCACCUCAACACCAUAGCUCUCCAUUGCUUUCGAUAGAAGGGUACGAGUAAAUAACUGUGGGUGAACUUGGGCCGUUGUUUCGGGUGACCCAAUUGUUCUUGGACCUCGGGCUGGCCCAUUAAUCCAGGAAGGAAGAUAUUCAUCCCUGGAGGUGGAGGUCUGCUUUUGGGCUUGCGACUCAGUGACGGUGAGACUGAGGGUAUUGAGGGUGCGGUAGCCAUAGGAUUCGUAGCCGUUGAGCUCUUCGGCAAGCGAACGAUGGAGAUUAAAGCUGGCUCGGGCAAGAGAAGAGAUGGGCCCACCGUCACACCAGUCUAGAGCGAGGAACCCUCCGGCCUUCCCGGACGCCGCGCAUGCCACCGACGAUUUCUCCACAAGCGUAACAGCGGCGCCCUUCUUGGCUAAGAAAUAAGCUGUGCACACCCCGAUGAUGCCGCCACCACAUACCACCACACGCUUUUGGUGCUCAUCCAUGGAUGACAGUGGAGAUGAGGAGCAUCGGAUGGAAGAAAUCCUGGGGAUUGUUCUAGAGUUUCUACUUUGAUGGGUAAAUAAUAGAGAAAGGAGAACUGUUGGUGGGGAUGGUAUCGUCACUGCCAUAUCCGGCUUAGUUUGGUGCACUUUUGUAUUGAAUUCUCACAAUUAGCUGACACGUGUACGACAAAAAUGUUGCAUUUAGUUUUGAGAGGUUCUUGAAAUCAAGAAUCUCAAUUCUCAGCCCAGUUUAGAUAAUUUUGGGCCGAAACUUAUUUUGCUUUUCUGGGCUUGAAAUAUAACCCAGUUAAGGCCCAUCUGCUUAUUUUGCUUUUGUGGGCUGGAAAUAUAAUCCCAUUAAGGCCCAUCUGUAAUUCAUUAAUCAAAUUCCAUUAGAUUGUAAUUCAUUUUCGCAAGAGAAGAGACGGUAACAGGGAUAAAUAAAUAGCGGAGCUACAAG
rnacentral:misc_RNA from 1 species